GGAAAAGUGGCAGAGUCCGGUUUAAUGCUACAGUCUUGAAAACUGUCGUGGGUGCGAGCCCACCGUGAGUUCGAAUCUCACCUUUUCCGCCA
rnacentral:tRNA from 1 species